rnacentral:misc_RNA from 1 species
UGCUUAGCCAACCUCACCGAACAUCAGCGAUGGAUCUGUUGUCCAUCCAUCAUCCAAUUAAUUCUUUUAAAAUUUAUUUGUAAUGUGAUGCUUAGUACGGCAUUACAUCAUUAGGGGAUAAAGGUGUUGUCAAUGACGAUGAACAAUGAAAAAUUAAUAAUCACAGCAAUUUAAAAUCUUUAAAGUAAAAAACCAAAAAAUUGCAACAUAUGAGUCUCAAGCUAAUCAAUGAAAAAUUAUAAAGACAACUUAUAGUUUGGGACGUUAAAACAGAGACUGCCAAAAGAUAGAUCAAUCUAAAACAUGAAAUUCCCGCACCAACAUCAAAAAACUGAGAUCAGCUUAUCCAAGAGUAAGUUCAUGGAAGAGCUGUACUCCAAAUAUAUCUUCACUAUGCCACAAGGGUGCUGGCGGUGGUUGAUUCAUAUUUCCACACUGGUGGAAGCUUCUUAGUCUUCUUGUAAUAGCGAGCUAAGCGAUGGAUCCUGCUCUCAACCAAAAUCAACCUAAAUUUGGAAUCUUUAUCCUUUCUGUUCCUCUCCAGAUGUUUCCUAAUUGCAACUGCUUUCUUGAUGAGGUGGUACAAAUCUUCAGGUAUUUCAGGAGCAAGCCCAUGCGCCUUUAAUAUCCGCAAAAUCUUGCUCCCAGUAACACUUUUCACUUGAGCAAUCCCAUGAGAAUCACGAAGGAUGACACCAAUUUGAGAUGGCGUCAAGCCUUUCUUAGCGAUCUUGCAGAUGUUAUCCUCCACAUCCUGAGAUGAAAUCUUGAGCCAACUGGGAGGUGUCCUCUUGUAAGGCAAAGCAGAUGCCGAGAUACCCUUACCUCGACUGUGCAUGCGACCCAUGGUGGCGGACUGAGGAUAUUUACGCUUCCUUUAGCAGCUUAGCUUGCUCCUUCAAACCCUAGGCCAGGAA